UUCUUCUCUUUCACUCUCAGUCUCAGGAGGAGGUGUGUGAUCUGCUACAUGCCGCACCAUUCCAGAACAUUCUUCCCAGGGUCCAUGUCAAGGAGGGUGAGCGUCUUGAUGCCAAGAUGAAACGUCUGGAGACUAAAUACACAGCCCUGCACCUGGUUCCUCUGAUAGAACGCCUGGGAACCCCACAGCAAAUAGCCAUUACCCGUGAAGGUGACCUGCUGACCAAAGAGCGUCUGUGCUGUGGCCUGUCCAUGUUCGAGGUCAUCCUCACACGUGUCCGCGGUUUCCUGGACGACCCCAUCUGGCGCGGCCCGUUGCCCAGCAACGGCGU